AGUCUCGCUACAUUUUGUAUUUCUUUAAAAUAUAGUCUCGUGGGGAAUGCGGUUCAAUAUCGCGUUUUAAAUUCAACUUUAUCUCUUAGUUCAUAAAGAUUGAAUUUGUAUAUUUUCUUUCCAUGAUAGUCUCGUGAGGCCGCAUUAAUGAUCGAGUAAACACAUGACUCGAUUAUUUGUCUUGAUCAUAUCGCUAAACGAUACAUCGACGAUUAUUAGAAAUUGCAUUUAAAUUGAUAUUUACGUAAAAAAAAUAAAAAAAUACUUAGAAAUGAAAGGUUAUUCCAUCUUUUUUAAUAUUUGAUGUGUUUGACUUGCUUCUGCAAGACUUGACAGCACAAAACGGAAUUUUUAGCGGAGCACUCGCAGACGUCCUUUCGAUGUUUUGCGAAUACGCAGAGUGUUUGUAAUCGAUUACGCAAGUAGUUUUUAUGAAUGCAUAAGAUUUUUCGAUUUGAAAAAUCUUAUACCUCGGCAAAAGGGGAAGCGCCUGUGAGUGUUAUCCAUUACUUAAUGAUCUAAGCCAAUUAGCUUUGCCAAGUGAUUUUCUAUUGUUUAUUACAGCAACAGAAAUUUAUUAUAAUGCUUAAAAGUUAAAACUCUCUAAGUUAAGCAACUCUCGGUUGCUUGGUUUUAGUCGACUUACAGUGCGACAUAAAAGAGAUGAAAUUAAUUAAUUUGGAACUAAUUUUUUUUCAUUAUCUGGCAACCCUGAAUUAUCAAUGCAGCUGUCAAGUUGAAUAAAAAUUUGUUGUUUAUUUGGUGAAGUUGAGAUAAAAUUGUUAUUUUAAACAAGAAAUUUACUAAAAAAAGGAGAAAUCAUGAAAAAGGUUAAACGUAGCGGUGUCCGUGAUGCCAUAUAUAAAGUUUUCAUUCGGUGUUUCUCAUAAUUUCAAGCUGAAAAACGAGAAAAAUAUUUGGAAAACGUUUACAGACGUACAGCAGAUUAUACCGGGGUUUCUGAAAGCACAGUACGCAGGAUAGUGGAGCAUGGGAGUAAAAAUGAAGGAGAAUAUCUACAAAAAAUAAAUAAAAAUAUGUAGUUUUCAAA